rnacentral:tRNA from 1 species
GGUUCCGUAGCUCAGCUGGAUAGAGCAACAGCCUUCUAAGCUGUGGGUCCGGGGUUCGAAUCCCCGCGGAAUCACCA